GCUGAGAGAUGAAACCAACUUUCUUGUAAUUGUCGGUAGAAGAGGGGUUCAAACCCUUGACUGUUGGGUGCAGAGCGUUUCCUUCUCCCUGCUGCCCCGCUGUGGUAUCUUUCUCCUCUCUGUGCUGCAGCAGGUGUUAUGUCUCAAACAAGGAGGUUAUGGAACAGCAUUCUGGAGCAUUCCCCACCAAAAUUACCCUGAUCAGGUGGUCUUCCGAGAAGGCAGUGAAUAGCCAAUUGGUGGAACGAAGCCGGAUGCCCAGUGGGAGCUCAGUAGCCUCCUCGGGGAGAGGGAGAAGCUGUGGAAACUCUUUGGAAGGCGGCUCUUGCAGAGCAAGACCUGUUUUUAGGAAGCUUUUGCAACUCUUCUAAACCCUCCAGAUAAUGGAAGGCUAUCAGAGGCUGUGGGCAUCUG